rnacentral:rRNA from 1 species
GAAGGCAGGUCUCUGGGCAUUACCUGACGCUGAGGAGCGAAGCAUGGGGAGCGAACAGGAUUAGAUACCUGGUAGUCCAUGCCGUAAACGUUGGGCACUAAGGUGUGGGGGACAUUCCACGUUUUCCGGCGCCGUAGCUAACGCAUUAAGUGCCCCGCCUGGGGAGUACGGCCGCAAAGGCUAAAACUCAAAGGAAUUGACGGGGGCCCGCACAAGCGGCGGAGCAUGCGGAUUAAUUCGAUGCAACGCGAAGAACCUUACCAAGGCUUGACAUUGUGCCAGACCGCCGUGGAAACACGGUUUCCCCUUUGGGGCUGGUUCACAGGUGGUGCAUGGUUGUCGUCAGCUCGUGUCGUGAGAUGUUGGGUUAAGUCCCGCAACGAGCGCAACCCUCGUUCCAUGUUGCCAGCGCGUAAAGGCGGGGACUCAUGGGAGACUGCCGGGGUCAACUCGGAGGAAGGUGGGGACGACCGUCAAAUCAUCAUGCCCCUUAUGUCUUGGGCUUCACGCAUGCUACAAUGGCCGGUACAAUGGGUUGCGAUACUGUGAGGUGGAGCUAAUCCCAAAAAGGCCGGUCUCAGUUCGGAUUGGGGUCUGCAACUCGACCCCAUGAAGUCGGAGUCGCUAGUAAUCGCAGAUCAGCAACGCUGCGGUGAAUACGUUCCCGGGGCCUUGUACACACCGCCCGUCAAGUCACGAAAGUUGGUAACACCCGAAGCCGGUGGCCUAACCCCUUGUGGGAGGGAGCCGUCGAAGGU